GAUGAAGAACGUAGCGAAAUGCGAUAAGUAAUGUGAAUUGCAGAAUUCAGUGAAUCAUCGAAUCUUUGAACGCACAUUGCGCCCGCCAGUAUUCUGGCGGGCAUGCCUGUUCGAGCGUCAUUUCAACCCUCAAGACCCCUUCGGGGGACUUGGUGUUGGGGACCGGCACAGGGGCCUGCCUGCUUGUCUUGCAGCGCCCUCGCCGCCCCCAAAAUGAAUUGGCGGCCUCGUCGCGGCCUCCCCUGCGUAGUAGCACAACCUCGCAACGGGAACGUGACGGCGGCCACUGCCGUAAAACAACCCCAAUUUUAUUAGAGUUGACCUCGAAUCAGGUAGGAAUACCCGCUGAACUUAAGCAUAUCAAUAAGCGGAGGA
rnacentral:misc_RNA from 1 species